rnacentral:rRNA from 1 species
UCUGAUUGACCCUGUCUGAUUGAUGUGGUCAUUUCAAAGAUUAAGCCAUGCAUGUCUAAGUACAUGUGAGUACACGAAACCGCGUAAAGCUCAUUACAACAGCUAAAAUCUAUACGGUGAGAUUCCUUUAAAUGGAUAUCUGCGGUAAAUCUGGAGCUAAUACAUGCAAUAAUAUUACUUAAUUUUAUAAUUAAGUAAUGCAGUUAUUAGAACAAAACCAAUGGGCAAAAGCCCAUAUUUGUUAACUCUGGAUAAUGCGUAAUCACACAGAAUUUAUUUCUGGUGAAAUUCCGUAUUUGUAUCUGCCCUAUCAACUAUAUAACCGUGUAUUGAACGGUUAUGGUGUUGCCGGGUAACGGAGAAUUAGGGUUCGUCUCCGGAGAGAAUGCCUUAAAAACGGCUUUCACAUCCAAGGAAGGCAGCAGGCGCGAAAAUUACCCAUUCUCAGAACGAGGAGGUAGUGACGUGAAAUGACAAGUUUUGUUCUUUUAAGGAUAAAACAUUGGAAUGGUUUAAUUUUAAAUUCAUUAAAGAUUAUCAAUGAGAGGGCAAGUCUGGUGCCAGCAGCCGCGGUAAUUCCAGCUCUCAUACUGCAUUGAAUUGCUGUUGCGGUUAAAAAGUUCGUAGUUGCAAAUGUACACGUGGAAAUGGUUUAUCUUAUUGAUAAUACUAUAACCUGUGUUAAAUAUAUGUUUUAUUUAUUUAAAACAUAUAUUGUUACUUUGAGUAAAUCAGAGUGCUCAGAACAAGCGUUUUAGCUUGAAUGGUUGUGCAUGGAAUAACAAUAUAAAGCAUUGAUUUUUGUUUUGUUGGUUUUAAUGUCAAUGAAUGAUUAAAAGGAACAAACGGGGGUAAAAGUAUUGUAAGGCGAGAGGUGAAAUUCGUGGACCCUUGCAAGACUAUCUAAAGCGAAAGCAUUUACCAAGAAUGUUUUCAUUAAUCAAGAACGAAAGUCAGAGGAUCGAAGGCGAUUAGAUACCGCCCUAGUUCUGACCGUAAACUAUGCCAUCUAACGAGUCGGUGUCGGUUAUAUAUUGCCAUUUUGACGAGUUAUCCGGAAACGAAAGUCUUUCGGUUCCGGGGGGAGUAUGGUUGCAAAACUGAAACUUAAAGGGAUUGACGGAAAGUCACCACCAGAAAUGGAGCCUGCGGCUUAAUUUGACUCAACACGGGAAAACUCACCCGGUCUAGACACUAAAAUGAAUGACAGACUGAUAUAUCUCUCAAGAUAUAGUGCAAAGUGGUGCAUGGCCGUUCUUAGUUCGUGGAGUAAUCUGUCUGGUUAAUUUCGAUAACGAACGAGACUAGAACAUGGUUAUUUUGUUAUAUUAUUAUUUAUAAGUAAUAUAACAGCAUAAAUGGAUAUGCAACUUAAAUUGCCUGAAAACUGGCAAUAACAGGUCUGUUAUGCCCUUAGUUGUCCGGGGCCGCACGCGCGCUACAAUGGAAAUUGCAGUGUGUAUUAAACUAAAUUGAAAAAUUUGGUUAAACAUGUCAAAUUAUUCCGCAUUUGGGAUCGGAAACUGUAAUUGUUUUCGUGAACGAGGAACUUCAAGUAAGUGUGUGUCAUUAGCGCACGCUGAUUACGUCCCUGUCUUUUGUACACACCGCCCGUCGCUGCCUAGAACUGAGUUGAUUCGAGAAGAUGGGAGAGAUGAUAUAUACUUGUAUAUGUUGUUGAACCCAUUUGAUCGUAUUGGCUUGAACCAGGCAAAAGUCGUAACAAGGUGGCCGUAGGUGAACCUGCGGGCC